GAAGGUAGCGUAAUCAUUUGUCUUUUAAAUAGAGACCUGUAUGAAUGGCAUAACGAGGGUUUAACUGUCUCCCUCCCCCAGUCAAUGAAAUUGAUCUGCCCGUGCAGAAGCGGACAUAAACACAUAAGACGAGAAGACCCUAUGGAGCUUUAGACAAAAGAUCAAACAUGUAAAGAAACCAAACCAACCAAAAGGAACACAAAGGCCACAAAACCCAACGUAAAAUGAUCAAAAUGUCUUCGGUUGGGGCGACCAUGGGGGAAAGAAAAGCCCCCACGAGGAACUAAGGGCAAUCCAUUAAGCCAAGAGAUACACCUCUAAGCAACAGAAAAUCUGACCAAAAAUGACCCAGGACACUAAUCCUGAUCAACGAACCAAGUUACCCUAGGGGAUAACAGCGCAAUCCUUUCCCAGAGUCCAUAUCGACGAAAGGGUUUACGACCUCGAUGUUGGAUCAGGACAUCCUAAUGGUGCAGCCGCUAUUAAGGGUUCGUUUGUUC
rnacentral:rRNA from 1 species